AUUGAACGCUGGCGGCAGGCCUAACACAUGCAAGUCGAACGAGGGGCGGAGGGGUGAGUAAUGUCUGGGAAACUGCCAGAUGGAGGGGUAUAACUACUGGAAACGGUAGAUAAUAGCGUAUAAUAUGGGAUGUGCCCAGAUGGGAUUAGCUAGUAGUGGGGGUAACGGCUCACCUAGGCGACGAUCCCUAGCUGGUCUGAGAGGAUGACCAGCCACACUGUAACGGAGACACGGUCCAGACUCCUACGGGAGGCAGCAGUGGGGAAUAUUGCACAAUGGGCGCAAGCCUGAUGCAGCCAGGCCGCGUGUAUGAAGAAGGCCUUCGGGGUGUAAAGUACUUUCAGCGAGGAGGCGUUACUCGCAGAAGAAGCACCGGCUAACUCCGUGCCAGCAGCCGCGGUAAUUC
rnacentral:rRNA from 1 species